GUAACGCGUGAGUAACCUGCCUUUCAGAGGGGGAGUAACGUUCUGAAAAGAACGCUAAUACCGCAUGAGACUACAGAGCUGCAUGGCUCAGUGGUCAAAGGAGCAAUCCGCUGAAAGAUGGACUCGCGUCCGAUUAGAUAGUAGGCGGGGUAACGGCCCACCUAGUCGACGAUCGGUAGCCGGACUGAGAGGUUGAACGGCCACAUUGGGACUGAGACACGGCCCAGACUCCUACGGGAGGCAGCAUG
rnacentral:rRNA from 1 species